GGGGCGAUAGCUCAGUUGGGAGAGCGCCUGCUUUGCACGCAGGAGGUCAGGGGUUCGAAUCCCCUUCGCUCCACCA
rnacentral:tRNA from 1 species